rnacentral:rRNA from 1 species
CUUGGUCAUUUAGAGGAAGUAAAAGUCGUAACAAGGUUUCCGUAGGUGAACCUGCGGAAGGAUCAUUAACAAAUCGUAUGUGCUGCUUCGGCAGCAUAUUAACCCGAGCCUCGGCUGCAAAGCCAGGUUAGGUCUCUUUCCACACCUGUAUGUAUAUAUAUGGUGUGUGGGGAGAGGGACUGACAUAUGAGGUGCUUCUGGCGCUGAAUUGUCGGUCCACAUAGACGCUUCUUUGUUUUGACAGAUCUAGUUGACAACAUAAAAUUGACAACUUUUAACAAUGGAUCUCUUGGCUCUUGCAACGAUGAAGAACGCAGUGAAAUGCGAAACGUAAUGCGAUUUGCACGAACCUGUGAGUCAUCAAGUCUUUGAACGCAUCUUGCACCGUAUCAGCAAUGGUACGGUAUACCUGUUUGAGAAUCGUAAACCUUCUCACCUCCCUGUUUAACACCGGGUGAGUGUGGAUUUGUCCUCUUUUUGUGCGCAAGCAUAAUGGGACUAAAUAAAGUAGGUUUGGAUCGGGUCAGUGGCUCGAGACACUGUGUGCUAGAGGCGACUUUUCGUCUUCUCACGGUGCGUCUCGGGUCAUCCCAAAGCUGACACGAAGCCCGGACCUUUAACUGGUGUUGCCCUGAGCAAUGCUACUUUUCUCUUUGAUCUCAAAUCAGGUAAGGCUACCCGCUGAACUUAAGCAUAUCAAUAAGCGGAGGA